rnacentral:rRNA from 1 species
AUUGAACGCUGGCGGCAUGCUUUACACAUGCAAGUCGAACGGUAACAGGCCUUCGGGUGCUGACGAGUGGCGAACGGGUGAGUAAUGCAUCGGAACGUACCCAGAGGUGGGGGAUAACGCAGCGAAAGCUGUGCUAAUACCGCAUGUGAUCUGAGGAUGAAAGCGGGGGACCGAGCAGCAAUGUUUGGCCUCGCGCCUUUGGAGCGGCCGAUGUCGGAUUAGCUAGUUGGUGGGGUAAAGGCCUACCAAGGCGACGAUCCGCAGCUGGUCUGAGAGGACGACCAGCCACACUGGGACUGAGACAUGGCCCAGACUCCUACGGGAGGCAGCAGUGGGGAAUUUUGGACAAUGGGCGCAAGCCUGAUCCAGCAAUGCCGCGUGCGGGAAGAAGGCCUUCGGGUUGUAAACCGCUUUUGGCAGGAACGAAACGGUGUCCGCUAAUACCGGGCGCUAAUGACGGUACCUGCAGAAUAAGCACCGGCUAACUACGUG